rnacentral:rRNA from 1 species
AACGCGAAGAACCUUACCAGGACUUGACAUCCUACUGACAGUCCCUUAACCGGGAUCUUCUUCGGACAGUAGAGACAGGUGGUGCAUGGUUGUCGUCAGCUCGUGUCGUGAGAUGUUGGGUUAAGUCCCGCAACGAGCGCAACCCUUGUCAAUAGUUGCCAGCAGUAAGAUGGGCACUCUAUUGAGACUGCCGUGGAUAACACGGAGGAAGGUGGGGAUGACGUCAAAUCAUCAUGCCCCUUAUGUUCUGGGCUACACACGUGCUACAAUGGCUGGUACAGAGAGACGCAAGACCGUGAGGUGGAGCAAAUCUCCAAAACCAGUCCCAGUUCGGAUUGCAGGCUGCAACUCGCCUGCAUGAAGUUGGAGUUGCUAGUAAUCGCAGAUCAGAAUGCUGCGGUGAAUGCGUUCCCGGGUCUUGUACACACCGAAUCGUCGACC